rnacentral:rRNA from 1 species
GUAAGGAAUAUUGGUCAAUGGACGAAAGUCUGAACCAGCCAUGCCGCGUGGAGGAUGAAGGUCCUCUGGAUUGUAAACUUCUUUUAUAUGGGACGAAAAAAGGCUUUUCUAAGUCGUCUGACGGUACCAUAUGAAUAAGCACCGGCUAACUCCGUGCCAGCAGCCGCGGUAAUACGGAGGGUGCAAGCGUUAUCCGGAUUCACUGGGUUUAAAGGGUGCGUAGGUGGAUUGCCAAGUCCGUGGUGAAAUCUUCGAGCUUAACUCGGAAACUGCCAUGGAUACUGGUGAUCUUGAAUAUCGUGGAGGUUAGCGGAAUAUGUCAUGUAGCGGUGAAAUGCUUAGAUAUGACAUAGAACACCAAUUGCGAAGGCAGCUGGCUACGCGAAUAUUGACACUCAGGCACGAAAGCGUGGGGAUCAAACAGGAUUAGAAACCCGGGUAGUCC